CGGACAGUUGGUGCAGGAAGAACGCAGCAGUAUCAGCGCACUCCAUCCCGGGGAUCUGAAUGCAUUGGUGGAGAGAACAGGGAAAUAAGAGUUCCAACCAGGUGGACUCUCAAUGUCUUGCAAGCGACACCUAGAAGCAGGUACAGGCAGGAGGCACAGCACCCUGCAACCUCCAGGGGCCUUUGUGCAAAUGUUCAUGUCCUAGAAGCACGUGGCGGAGCACGUCCUGGGAUCAAGGUGCCAUGGACUGGAAAACGCAGCUCUGGACAUACAGGCUUGGCGGAGUUCCUGUGUGAAGACAAAACUCCCAGUACUCCAGAAACGUGGAGGCAGAAGAGCAGUGACAAGGUAUCUGUAUGUCUGUCAGUAUAUGUGCACAGCAGGCCCAGCUGCCC
rnacentral:lncRNA from 1 species